rnacentral:lncRNA from 10 species
UCUUAAUGGGGCUUUUACACUUGUAUAUUUCAUUACAGGUGGGAAAACUGGAAAGAUUGAAUGUCCUUUGGAGUUCACAGAGGUUUGGCAGUGGGAGGAGAAAAACAAAACGAAGCAUAGUGGGAGUGUUGAACAGACUUUCCCAAGAUCCCCAGGAAAAGCAAAGCUACUAUAAGAACUCACUACAUCAACGCGUAUUCAUUAUUGAGACCAUCCUAGGAGAGCUGCAUCAUCACAGGCUGCUCUGAGGUCUGUGCCCAAUCAAGCAAAGAACAACGGAGAUAAUCACACUGUGCAGAGGGUGACCAAUUUAGAAAAAAAGGACUCUUAAGAAGAUCGUCCAACUUCCUUAAAUGACUUUCAUUAAUUUUACACCUUUUGCCAAUUAAUUGCACUUAUGAGCCUUGCUUGUCAAUUACUGCAUUCUCACUUUCAGCAAUUGAACUAAUCUUUGCCUAUUCAUAUUUUGUUUUUUAAAUAGGUAUUUCCAAUUAUUGAUAUAAAUCUUUAUGAUUACAUUACAAAUGUCUGACCAUAUUUAUUCAUUCUUCAUAGAGACAAAAUAAAGGUUCUAUUAUCUACACUUAAAACAUGUUGUACUUUUUUCUUUACAGCACAACUUACAAUAUUGUCCUUAUUUGGUGAUUAUUUUAAAACAAACAUAUUCCAUUUAAAAUACAAGCUCAACAACUACAGAUACAUUUAUGUUUGUAUGUGUAUAUAUAUAUACACACACACACACACACACGUAUUUUUCUUAUUCUGUUUUCAGUGUCUGCCUGCAUACAUG